UAGUUCAGUCGGUAGAACGGCGGACUGUUAAUCCGUAUGUCACUGGUUCGAGUCCAG
rnacentral:tRNA from 7 species